GAUAAACGCUGAAAGCAUCUAAGCGUGAAGCCUACCUCAAGAUAAGAUUUCCCAUAACGUAAGUUAGUAAGACCCCUUGAAGACCACGAGGUUGAUAGGUGAGAGGUGUAAGUAUAGCAAUAUAUUCAGCUGACUCAUACUAAUAGGUCGAGGGCUUGACCAA
rnacentral:rRNA from 1 species